GCCGGAGUGGUGGAAUUGGCAGACACCCGGGACUUAAAAUCCCGUGGAGAGAGAUCUCCGUGACGGUUCGACCCCGUUCUCCGGCACCA
rnacentral:tRNA from 1 species